AGGCGAUGAUGAGGACGGCCAUAGUGUGAGAGAGUUUCAUCCUUUCAAGGCUAGAGUUUCCUUCUUUUUAUCCCUGUAGUAGAGAGAUAAAGCCCGGAGAGGAGGUGUUGAGUGGCCGCUGCAGGAGGCGCAGGCAGAACUGCAGCAGUGUGGGAAGUCCUCCCUUCACCUUGCUGAAAAGCUGGUAGAGGAGGGCCAGCUCAGUCGUACGAUUCUCAUCCAGCAGGGUACCCAGACCUGGCACAAAAAUAUUACACUAUUAUUGUAUGUGCAUAUUAAAAAAUUAAAAUUCAACUGCAUUUUAAAAAUUUCA